rnacentral:rRNA from 1 species
CCCUUAGAUGUUCUGGGCCGCACGCGCGCUACACUGACGAAGUCAGCGAGCAUGUCCUACGCCGACAGGUGCGGGGAAUCUUGUCAAACUUCGUCGUGAUGGGGAUUGAUUAUUGAAAUUCUUGAUCAUCAACGAGGAAUUCCUAGUAAGCGCAAGUCAGCAGCUUGCGUUGAUUACGUCCCUGCCCUUUGUACACACCGCCCGUCGCUACUACCGAUUGAAUGGUUUAGUGAGAUCUUCGGAUUGGCGCCACUGCGGCUCAGCAAUGGGCUCGGUGGAUGCCGAAAAGUUGAUCAAACUUGAUCAUUUAGAGGAAGUAAAAGUCGUAACAA